rnacentral:ncRNA from 1 species
UCCCUGCCCUUUGUACACACCGCCCGUCGCUACUACCGAUUGUAACGGUCGCAUUGAGGUCUUCGGAGUGGACGCGCGUUAUUCGGCCCCCUCGGGGGCUGGGUCGUCGCGCGAUCGCGAAGAUGACCGAAAUCGGCCGUUUAGAGGAAGUAAAAGUCGUAACAAGGUUUCCGUAGGUGAACCUGCGGAAGGAUCAUUA